GACGAACGCUGGCGGCGUGCUUAACACAUGCAAGUCGAACGGAAAGGCCCUGCUUGCAGGGUACUCGAGUGGCGAACGGGUGAGUAACACGUGGGUGAUCUGCCCUGCACUUCGGGAUAAGCCUGGGAAACUGGGUCUAAUACCGGAUAGGAGCCAUUUUUAGUGUGAUGGUUGGAAAGUUUUUUCGGUGUAGGAUGAGCUCGCGGCCUAUCAGCUUGUUGGUGGGGUAAUGGCCUACCAAGGCGGCGACGGGUAGCCGGCCUGAGAGGGUGGACGGCCACAUUGGGACUGAGAUACGGCCCAGACCCCUACGGGAGGCAGCAGUGGGGAAUAUUGCACAAUGGGCGCAAGCCUGAUGCAGCGACGCCGCGUGGGGGAUGACGGCCUUCGGGUUGGAAACUCCUUUCGCUAGGGACGAAGCUUUUUGUGACGGUACCUAGAUAAGAAGUACCGGCUAACUACGUG
rnacentral:rRNA from 1 species